rnacentral:rRNA from 1 species
UUGAACGCUGGCGGCAGGCCUAACACAUGCAAGUCGAGCGGAUGAAGGGAGCUUGCUCCUGGAUUCAGCGGCGGACGGGUGAGUAAUGACUAGGAAUCUGCCUGGUAGUGGGGGAUAACGUCCGGAAACGGGCGCUAAUACCGCAUACGUCCUGAGGGAGACAGUGGGGGAUCUUCGGACCUCACGCUAUCAGAUGAGCCUAGGUCGGAUUAGCUAGUUGGUGGGGUAAAGGCCUACCAAGGCGACGAUCCGUAACUGGUCUGAGAGGAUGAUCAGUCACACUGGAACUGAGACACGGUCCAGACUCCUACGGGAGGCAGCAGUGGGGAAUAUUGGACAGUGGGCGAAAGCCUGAUCCAGCCAGGCCGCGUGUGUGAAGAAGGUCUUCGGAUUGUAAAGCACUUUAAGUUGGGAGGAAGGGCAGUAAGUUAAUACCUUGCUGUUUUGACGUUACCAACAGAAUAAGCACCGGCUAACUUCGUG